UACGAAGGGGGCUAGCGUUGCUCGGAAUCACUGGGCGUAAAGCGCACGUAGGCGGACUCUUAAGUCGGUGGUGAAAUCCUGGAGCUCAACUCCAGAACUGCCUUCGAUACUGGGAGUCUCGAGUUCGGGAGAGGUGAGUGGAACUGCGAGUGUAGAGGUGAAAUUCGUAGAUAUUCGCAAGAACACCAGUGGCGAAGGCGGCUCACUGGCCCGAUACUGACGCUGAGGUGCGAAAAGCGUGGGGGAGCAAACAGG
rnacentral:rRNA from 1 species